ACGGGUGAGUAACACGUAGGAAUCUACCCUUGAGAGGGGGAUAACCCGAGGAAACUCGGGCUAAUACCGCAUAUAUUCUGAGGAAUAAAGCUGGGGUUAAACCUGGCGCUUGAGGAGGAGCCUGCGUCUGAUUAGCUAGUUGGUAGGGUAAAGGCCUACCAAGGCGACGAUCAGUAGGUGGUCUGAGAGGAUGAUCACCCACACUGGGACUGAGACACGGCCCAGACUCCUACGGGAGGCAGCAGUGGGGAAUAUUGGACAAUGGGGGCAACCCUGAUCCAGCAAUGCCGCGUGUGUGAAGAAGGCCUUCGGGUUGUAAAGCACUUUAGGCGGGGAAGAAGAUAUGGAGUUUAAGAGAUGCCAUAUUUGACUGUACCCGCAGAAUAAGCACCGGCUAACUCUGUGCCAGCAGCCGCGGUAAUACAGAGGGUGCAAGCGUUAAUCGGAUUUACUGGGCGUAAAGGGCGCGUAGGUGGUUGCUUAAGUAAGAUGUGAAAUCCCCGGGCUUAACCUGGGAACUGCAUCUUAGACUGGGUAACUGGAGUGCAGUAGAGGGUAGAGGAAUUUCCGGUGUAGCGG
rnacentral:rRNA from 1 species